CCUACGGUGGCUGCAGUGGGGAAUAUUGGACAAUGGGCGCAAGCCUGAUCCAGCAAUGCCGCGUGUGUGAAGAAGGCCUGCGGGUUGUAAAGCACUUUAAGCAGGAAAGAAGGGGUGAAAGUUAAUACCUUUCAUCAUUGACGUUACCUGCAGAAUAAGCACCGGCUAACUCCGUGCCAGCAGCCGCGGUAAUACGGAGGGUGCGAGCGUUAGUCGGAAUUGCUGGGCGUCAAUUUGAUGAGGGCGGCGUGAAAGCCCUGGGCUUAACCUGGGAACUGCGGUGGAUACUGUCGGGCUAGAGUGUGGUAGAGGGGAGUGGAAUUUCCGGUGUAGCAGUGAAAUGCGUAGAGAUCGGAAGGAACACCAGUGGCGAAGGCGGCUCCCUGGACUAACACUGACGCUGAGGUGCGAAAGCGUGGGGAGCAAACAGGAUUAGAUACCCGUGUAGUC
rnacentral:rRNA from 1 species